UGUUUCCUGCGGGGGGCAGCAGUGGGGGAUAUUGGACAAUGGGGGGAACCCUGAUCCAGCGACGCCGCGUGAGUGAAGAAGUAUUUCGGUAUGUAAAGCUCUGUCAGCAGGGAAGAAAGAAAUGACGGUACCUGACCAAGAAGCCCCGGCUAACUACGUGCCAGCAGCCGCGGUAAUUCGUAGGGGGCAAGCGUUAUCCGGAAUUACUGGGUGUAAAGGGAGCGUAGACGGUUAAGUAAGUCUGGAGUGAAAGGCCGGGUCCCAACCCCGGGACUGCUCUGGGAACUAUU
rnacentral:rRNA from 1 species